GAAGUCAAGUGAGGGUUUCUUAGAUUUCUUGCAAUCUAUUAGUUGGAUUGAAAUGAAAAUUAUGUGUAUAGGUAGUAGACUUAUUUUUCUAUUUAUUUAAAAAAUUUGAGAUCAAUUAAAUAGUUCAAUAAGUAGAUAUAGGUGCUAGAAAUUUAACAUUUGGAUUGGAGAAAGAGGCCAGCCAACAUCUGAGCAAAUAUUAGGAUCGAUCUUCUUUUUGGUGAAUUUGAUCUUCAAAAAUUUUGUACUUUUUGUUAACUUAAUUGUUAAGAGGUGUGUAAAUUUUGAAUUAAAAUCAAUAGUUUAUUCAUUAGUUAUUGAGGUUUAAAUUUGCUAUAAGAAUUACUUGGAAUUAUUUAGGAUUUGGUUAGGAUUUGGUUAAGAUUUGAUUAGGUUUAUUUAAGAUUUGAUUAGGAUUUUUUUAAGAUUUGAUUAGAAUUUGGUUAAGAUUUAUUUAGGAUUUUUU
rnacentral:lncRNA from 1 species